CGCACAUUGCGCCCUUUGGUAUUCCGAAGGGCAUGCCUGUCCGAGCGUCAUUAUCACCCCUCAGGACCCCUCGGGGAUCUGGUGUUGGAGCGUUUGGCCGACGUCCGCCGUCGGCCCCUCCCAAAGACAAUGACGGCGGCCUGUGAGGCGCCCCCGGUACACUGAGCUUCUUCGGAGCACGUACCGGACCUCGUGGUGCCCGGGACCCGGUCUCGACCUUUUUCUUCUCAAGGUUGACCUCGGAUCAGGUAGGAAUACGCGCUGAACUUAA
rnacentral:misc_RNA from 1 species